AUUGAACGCUGGCGGCAGGCCUAACACAUGCAAGUCGAGCGAGCGGCGGACGGGUGAGUAAUGUCUGGGAAACUGCCUGCUGGCGGGGGAUAACUACUGGAAACGGUAGCUAAUACCGCAUACCAUCAGAUGUGCCCAGAUGGGAUGAGCUAGUCGGUGGGGUAACGGCUACCCUAGGCGACGAUCCCUAGCUGGGCUGGGAGGAGUACCAGCCACACUGGAACUGAGACACGGUCCAGACUCCUACGGGAGGCAGCAGGUGGGAAUAUUGCACAAUGGGCGCAAGCCUGAUGCAGCCAUGCCGCGUGUGUGAAGAAGGCCUUCGGGUUGUAAAGCACUUUCAGCGGGGGGGCGUUACCCGCAGAAGAAGCACCGGCUAACUCCGUGCCAGCAGCCGCGGUAAUUC
rnacentral:rRNA from 1 species